rnacentral:rRNA from 1 species
GAUGAACGCUGGCGGCGUGCCUAAUACAUGCAAGUCGAGCGAACAGACGAGGAGCUUGCUCCUCUGACGUUAGCGGCGGACGGGUGAGUAACACGUGGAUAACCUACCUAUAAGACUGGGAUAACUUCGGGAAACCGGAGCUAAUACCGGAUAAUAUAUUGAACCGCAUGGUUCAAUAGUGAAAGACGGUUUUGCUGUCACUUAUAGAUGGGUCCGCGCCGCAUUAGCUAGUUGGUAAGGUAACGGCUUACCAAGGCGACGAUGCAUAGCCGACCUGAGAGGGUGAUCGGCCACACUGGAACUGAGACACGGUCCAGACUCCUACGGGAGGCAGCAGUAGGGAAUCUUCCGCAAUGGGCGAAAGCCUGACGGAGCAACGCCGCGUGAGUGAUGAAGGUCUUCGGAUCGUAAAACUCUGUUAUUAGGGAAGAACAAAUGUGUAAGUAACUAUGCACGUCUUGACGGUACCUAAUCAGAAAGCCACGGCUAACUACGUG